GACGAACGCUGGCGGCGUGCCUAAUACAUGCAAGUUGAGCGAUGAAGAUUGGUGCUUGCACCAAUUUGAAGAGCAGCGAACGGGUGAGUAACGCGUGGGGAAUCUGCCUUUGAGCGGGGGACAACAUUUGGAAACGAAUGCUAAUACCGCAUAACAACUUUAAACAUAAGUUUUAAGUUUGAAAGAUGCAAUUGCAUCACUCAAAGAUGAUCCCGCGUUGUAUUAGCUAGUUGGUGAGGUAAAGGCUCACCAAGGCGAUGAUACAUAGCCGACCUGAGAGGGUGAGCGGCCACAGUGGGACUGAGACACGGCCCAAACUCCUACGGGAGGCAGCAGUAGGGAAUCUUCGGCAAUGGACGAAAGUCUGACCGAGCAACGCCGCGUGAGUGAAGAAGGUUUUCGGAUCGUAAAACUCUGUUGGUAGAGAAGAACGUUGGUGAGAGUGGAAAGCUCAUCAAGUGACGGUAACUACCCAGAAAGGGACGGCUAACUACGUG
rnacentral:rRNA from 1 species